AUUGAACGCUGGCGGCAUGCUUUACACAUGCAAGUCGAACGGUAACAGGCCGCGAGGUGCUGACGAGUGGCGAACGGGGGGGUAAUGCAUCGGAACGUGCCCAGUCCUGGGGGAUAACGCAGCGGAAGCUGUGCUAAUACCUCAUACGAGCUAUGGAUGAGAGCGGGGGACCGAAAGGCCUCGCGCGAUUGGUGCGGCCGAUGUCCGAUUAGGUUGUUGGUGGGGUAAAGGCCUUCCAAGACAACGAGCUGUAGCGGGUCUGAGAGGACGACCAGCCACACUAGGACUGAGACACGGCCCAGACUCCUAGGGGAUGCAGCAGUGGGGAAUUUUGGACAAUGGGCGAAAGCCUGAUCCAGCAAUGCCGCGUGGAGGAAGAAGGCCUUCGGGUUGUAAACUGCUUUUGUACGGAACGAAACGGUCUGGAUUAAUACCCUCGACUAAUGACGGUACCGUAAGAAUAAGCACCGGAUAACUACGUG
rnacentral:rRNA from 1 species